AGCGCGCGGGGAAUCUGCCGGUUAACGAGCGGGGCUUAACCUGAUAUUUUACUGCAUGUUCUGACACCUCCCAACUAAUCUAAGGCCUUCUCCGUCUGCCCAUUUUAUUCCAUCGUACCUCCAUGUCCAAUCAGUGUUGUUUAACUUUUGCAUGGGCGAAUUUGCCCCAGGUUGUGAUGCGGGCAGUGUACCCCUGUACGCGGGUGUUUAUCAAUUAGCCAAACUUGCCACAAUUCUCCCGCGGACAUCGUUUGGCGUUUGUAUGUGUGCAUAUAUAAUUGUGCAAUGUGGCAGAAAGUUUUCCAGCCGCCUGCCCCGGCAUGAGAGGCCCGACCUUAAUGUUCUUGUAUUUUUCCGCGCGCACUGGCCCUCUUACAGACCAGCAAAAAAGGACCCCGGGUGACGGCGGUAAUGCUCGGAUGAAUCUUGGAUGUUGAACUGCACAACUUCAUCACAGCGCGCGUCUAUCCAUCACUGUCAGUGUCUUUUCGUCCACGGGAUUAUUAACACCGGCAAUAGACGUCCGCGACGAAUGCUUCCAGCAAAAUAACUGGAAUUAUUGAGAGCUCACAAAGCGACAAAUAAUCUUCUUUUUUGUGCGACGUUGCGGAAGUAACGCUGCCGUCACAGUGCGCCGACGAGAGCCAACUUUUAACUAGGAAAGUUUUAAGUGCUGACGAUGCCGUUUUGUGAUUUGCCUAUAUUGUUAAGAGUUAAUUCGAAGCAAACGGUCUAUUGUACACUCUUCCUCCGGACCAGGAUCUUACCCGCCGGCAGCAUUUGGGAUCGUCACGACUAACUCGCAUCGUUAAAUUAGGGAGAUUUACGCAACCCGGCCUGUUUACGUGGAAACUCAAUGACUACCGCCUAGCAUACUGACGGUGGAGUUAAGAAACAAACCAAGAAGCACUCCGUGUUUAUGAAAGUUGACGCUGUAUGGGAGACGGUAUCAAUCAAGUCCACAACGGAUAUUAAAAACUGCUCAGAAUAAACUUGCAGUUACUGUAGUGCGCAAGACCUUCUGUUGAAAACUUUUGACUUGGAAAGGGACCUAUGGAUGCGACUACAUAAAUAUUUCAAGCAAACGGAAGCGCACUUUUUGCACCGCAUCGACGUAUAAAAAACUGACCGG